rnacentral:misc_RNA from 1 species
UGCUUUGGGUUCUGUCGCUUAUGAUC